rnacentral:rRNA from 1 species
GUGUCAGCCGCCGCGGUAAGACAGAGGAGCCAAGCGUUGUCCGGAUUGACUGGGCGUAAAGCGCACGCAGGUGGUCACUCAAGUGUCGUGUGAAAGCGGCCCGCUUAACGGGUCGAGGCCAUGGCAGACUGUGUGACUGGAGGUCGUGAGAGGUCCGUGGAAUUGCCGGUGUAGUGGUGACAUGCGUAGAUAUCGGCAGGAACACCCAAGGGGAAGCCAGCGGACUGGCACGAUACUGACACUGAGGUGCGACAGCGUGGGGAGCGAACCGGAUUAGAAACCCGCGUAGUCC